GACUAGCUAAGAACGAUGAUGCUCCAGUUGAGCGCAUAUAAUUAGCAAGUGAAACUUUGAACCGUUCUUUUUUUUUUUUUUUUUGGUGUCAUGUGUUUGUUUACAUACAUACACAUACGUACGUAUGUUCAUAUGUAUAUUUAUUGAUUUUUCUACGUGCUGAACAUCUUGUGUAAAAUCUAUUUGCACUUCACACGGCGGCAAUGGUCCAAUUACACAGAGAGAAAACGCAACAGCAAAAGAAGAAGUUUAGGAGAUGACAAAUUUAGCAAAAGUUGCAAAUAUGCAAAUUUUGUUGAAACCGAAUCAGGAACUGCGACAUUAACUUUGGUUAAUCAAAGAUUACAUUCAUCAGCAUUUAACUGGCCAUCAAACGAGAUAAUUUGAUUACAGGGCAUCUUCUGAGUCGAUCAAUGAAUUGUUAAACAAAGUCAAUAUAAGAUGAUCGCUAAGGGAAAAUAGUUUUAUCAUCCGUUCCAAACUUACUACAAAGCUAAAUCCUCAUUGGAACUCACUUUGAGCAAGCCAAAGCUCUUCGUGGCAACUUGGAGUGUUUCAUCAAAACUACAACAACAUCAUAAUUUGCAUAUGUACAAUUGUCUCAAGAUAUCUACAAAAGAACGUACCUGGAGCUGCUAAAACGUGAGACGAAGGACAUUGAGUGAUCCUAUAAAAAGAAGAUCUUAAGCAUUUAUCCAGUAGAAACUUCCAGUAAAAGUCGUCAUAUUAGAAUACAUUUUUCUAUUUAUGUAGUAAGCUUAAUUCACUCUGGCUCAUACCAUUGCAAAAAGGAAUUGUAUUCGUUAUAACAAUAAAAAAUAAUAAUAAUAAAAAUUUGUAAUAGUAUA